AGCAGCCGCGGUAAUUCCAGCUCCAAUAGCGUAUAUUAAAGUUGUUGCAGUUAAAAAGCUCGUAGUUGAAUUUCGGGAUCAAUUUAUUGGUCGUGCUAUUGUACGUACUGGUAUUAUUGAUUCCUACCUUCUGACGAACCAUGAUGUCAUUAAUUUGGUGUCUUGGGGAAUCAGGACUGUUACUUUGGAAAAAUUAGAGUAUUUAAAGCAGGCUCACGCUUGAAUACAUUAGCAUGGAAUAACGAAAUAGGACGUUUGAUUCUAUUUUGUUGGUUUCUAGGAUCGACGUAAUGAUUAAUAGGGAUAGUUGGGGGCAUUAGUAUUCAAUUGUCAGAGGUGAAAUUCUUGGAUUUAUUGAAGACUAACUACUGCGAAAGCAUUUGCCAAGGAUGUUUUCAUUAAUCAAGAACGAAAGUUAGGGGAUCGAAGACGAUCAGAUACCGUCGUAGU
rnacentral:rRNA from 1 species